CUUAUGAAAAAUAUAUUUCUAAAACAAAAAAUAAGUGAGAAGAGUGACAUUGACGUGGUCCUUAGUAAGAAAAGUGACACUAUUUUACAUCUUUGUGGUUGGGCAUGGUGGCACACACCUGUAAUCUCAGGAUUUGGGAGGCUGAGGCAGGAGGACCACUAUGAGUUCCAGGCCAGUCUGGGCUACAUAGUGAGCUUAAGGCCAGCCUGAACUACCCAGUGAGACACUAUCUCAAAUUACAUCUUUGCAAAGUUCUUUAAUGUCUGGCUUAAAAGUAAUCAGCUGGAUUCUCAAACCUGCUUCUGCAUUUAGUUUGUUAAAACCGCACAGGUCAUACAGCCUUUGCAAACUAUAGUGUACACUUGUACAAGAAAGCAAAUGAAAAGACAAACAACAGCUUAGAAUUAUGUGAAAAUAGCUUAGACACCGCCCCCCCCCCAUGAUUCUCUGGAAUUCUCAGAGCUAUAGAGUUCCACCUCACAGCUAACUGAGAAUCACUGCUCUGAUCCACAUCUCUUUGCUGCUUAUUUGGUGUGUGGCUUAGAAGAGAAAUAAAAUGCCCAAGUUUAGAAUGUGGUUCAUGUUAGCUAUUUUUUAUUAUAUACCUUCCCUAGUAUCUUUCUCAUUCCACAGUUCCAUUCCUCCCUCUCCGACAUUUUCCCACUCAACAGCUUUGGAGAACAGAACAUCUUUUUCUGCCAUCUAUUCCUCUGUUGGAGGUCAUAUUCCAACUGGCAGGUAGACGGAGAGCAGCAGGACCUGUGACCACGGCAGGGGCCAAGUACAUUUCAAGUGCACAGGAUAAUUCUCCAUGCAUUUAUGUGCUUGUGUAAGCCUAGCCCUGUGGAGCACAUGAGGAUGAAAAACGUGCUUCCCAAUGUCAAGGGGUUUGUGGUGUAUGCAGCUCUCUGCUUUAUGGGAAACACCAAGUACAGAAGAACUUGGACUAAGAGGACCCUUGUGAUGGCUUGGACUCAGCCAGAUUAGUCCAGAUAAUCUCCCAUCUCACCUUGGGCAAAUCUGCAAAGUCUGUUAUGGAGUGUAAGAUAACAUAUUGAACUGGUUCCUGAGAUUAGGAGACUGAAACAUUUGGAGGGCCAUUAUUCUGCCUACCUUGGUUACAACCUGACUGGACCUUCCCAGAGUUGCAGUGAGAUUUAUUCUGGGAUGGCUACAAGAAACUGAAAAUUGGCACCCAGUGCUGCCUUCAUGGUAAGGAGUCAAUGCUCAAUCAACACUAACAGGAGGAUCAAGCAAAACAGGAAGAAGCUGCUCCCUCCUCACUCUUUCCCCUGUCCUCUAGUCUUUCUCUAUUGUCCCUGUUGGCAAGACUUAGCAAGAAGCCAGCUGACUAAGGAUAAUUAGCUUUGCAGUUUCAGUCCAGCAUUGGAGAGCAGUGUAGAAUGGAAGGUUUGAGGCUACAAGACAUUAGCUUAGAAACUGACAAAAAUACCACCAAAAAAGUCAAGUUUUUGUUUGCUGGGUUCGGGGGAUUUCAGUUUUGAAGUUUGAACUCAGGGCCUUCACACUGUGCUACAUUCCCAGCCCUUUCUAUUAUUUUGAGAUGGGGGAGUCUGCUAAGUUGCCCAGGCUGGGCUUGAACUUGCAGUCCUUCUGCCUCAGCUUCCCAGAGUGCUGACAUUACAGGUCUGUGCCACUACAGCUGGGUUAAAAAAAUGAUUUUAAACAAAUGACAGCCUAGGACUACAUUACAGGUACUCCAUGAUUUACAAUGGGUUAUAAUCCAAUAAACCAACAAAUACAUUUAAAAUAUCCAAAUAUAUAAAUUGAAAAUAUCCUAAAUUGAAAAUACAUUUAAUACCUACCAAAUAUACUAAGCAACACAAUACACUGUAGAAUCAAUUGUUUACCCACUUGAUCAUCGGGCUGACUGGGAGUUGUGUAUUAUACCUGAGAGUAGCUGAGUGUAUCAUACCACAUAUUGCUAGUCCAGAAAAAGAGAAAAAUUCAAAGUAUGGUUUCUAUUCAAUGCAUAUCAUUUUCACACUAUCAUAAAGAUCAAAAUUGUAAUUUGGGGACUAUCUAUUUAAUAAAAGGUUCAUAACAAUAUAUAAUGGUUUUUAGAAACCAAUAAGAAAAAGACAACCCAGUAAACAUGGGCAAAACCAUAGUAUGCUGUGUGACUAUAGUAUAGACCAGUAACACAUUCAUUUAUCAUUGUUAAAUAUUAUCUUAUACAUAAUUGUAUGUAUUAUACUUUUAUAUGACUGUUAAUGUACAGUAGGUUUGUUGACACCAGAAUCACAAUUGAGUGAUGAGUUACUUUAUGACAUUAUAGUGGCUACAAAGUCAUUCAGCUAUGGAAAUUUUUCAGUUCUAUUAUAAUCUCAUGGGACCAUCAAUGUAUGUGCUAUCUGUCCUUGCCCAAAAUAUCAUCAUGAGCUGGGAGUGGUGGCACAUGCCUGUAAUCCCAGCACUCAGGAGUCUGAGGCAGGAGGAUCAGCAUGAGUUCGAGGCCAUCCUAGGCUACACCAAUUCAAGGCCAGCCCAAAUUACAUUGCAAGACUUUGUCUCUAAAUAAAUAAAUAGAUAAAUAAAUAAAUAAAUAUGUCAUUAUAUAGCACAUGACUGUAUGCAAGAUGAACCUGAGGUAUCUCAUAGUGCCAAAAGAGAGGUAGCGGUCCAAAAACAAAACAGUAAUAUAAACAAAAAGACAAGUUGGGCUGGGGAUUUAGCUCAGUGGUUUCGCCGCCUGCUGCACAAGCGCAAGGACCCAAGUUUGAUCCCUGGUACCAAAAAAAAAAAGACAAGCAAAAGAUGAGAUCUUUCAAAGUGACGUAAGUAUUAACUGAAAGAAUAGCAAUAGUCAAAGCUGGCCUGAUUUAAGCAACAAAAAGUAGGGAGGCUGGGUGCAUGCCUAGUCCUGGCCACUCAGGAGGCUGAGGCAGGAGGAUCGCAACUUCAAGGCCAGGCUGGACAAUUUAGCAAGACCCUGUCUCAAAAUUUUAGAAAAGGGGCAGGGAUGUACCUCAGUGCAAGACCUUGGGUUCAAUCCUCAGCCUCUCUCCCUGUCUCUCUCUCUCUCUCUCAAACAGGGAAUUAAACUUACUACUAAAGUUAGAAAAAAUUAUACUAUACCAGAGAAUAAUAAAGAGACUGUGGAAAUGUUUAUAUAUAUAAAUAUUAUCACCCAUCAGGGUAAAAGACUAACACCCAAUCAUACAAAUAAUCAUGUCAAUCCAAAGUUAGAAUCCAAAGUAUUAAGUAAAUAUCCAGGUUCCAUACUAAUAUUAAUAAAUGAUCAUGUUGAUAAAUCAAAGAAAAUAAGCAAAUCUAUGCAGAACUCUAAAUAACUUACGUCUAUAGUUUGCUCUCAAUGAGGUAGAGCAUAAUGCCCUGCUUCAUAAGUGUGGGCUAUAUACAGUGAUUUCCUUCCAAAGUGUAUGGUAUGUACUGGGGGUGUAGUUCAGUAGUAGAGUGCCUGCAUAGCAUAUGGGAUUUUUCAAAAGUAUUCCCAAUUAAAAGUUCAUUUUAUUUUAUUUUUAAGGCACUGGUUAUCAAACUCAGGGCCUCAUGAAUGUCAGGCAAGUGCUUUGCCACUGAGCUACACUCGCAGCCCUAAAAGCUUAUUUUUAAAAAGACUCCUGUACUUUAUGACCCCAGAGACUUUUUAAAAACAAAAAUCUAUGCACAUUUUUAAAAAUUAAAAGUGCGAUCAUUGUUCAACCCAGAAAUGUCACUUUUCAUAACUUCCAAUUAAAAUAGUUACAAAGUAUACAAAAUAAAUGCAAAAGAACUGUAAUUGUAGCUAUUGCAGAAACCAAAAUAUAGGAAAUAACUUAGUUGUUUGUAUACCAGAAAGUAGUUGUAUAGUAUUAUAGUAGGAGUAAUCCUAAAAUAACCCUAUUUAUGACCUUUCUCUUGUGUGUGCAUGGAACUUGUGAGUAUUAUGAAUUUCAUUCCCAAAAUUAGGCUAUGUUAGAUGAACCAGUGGAAAGUUGCUCAAGGUUUGGUUUGGUUUGUAUUUUUAAUAUAAAAUGAAAUGAAUGUUCUGUAUAAAUAAUGCCUACUCUACCACCACCAAGACAAACUCUUGACUGGCACAGUUAUCCUGAGUGGGCCUGACCUAAUCAGGUGACACUUGAAGAAGAACUGAGCUCUUCCUUAAAAGAAAUUCAUCGUGGGCUGGAAAUUUAGUUUAGUGGUGCCAUGCCUGCCUCGAAACUGCAAGGUCCUGAGUUCAAUCCCCCGUACUGCCGCAAAAAAACAAAGAAAGAAAUUAGUUGUUUGAGGGGCAUUAGUCAUGGAGGAGAUAUCUUGUUACUACCUUUGAAGAUGGAGGGGACUAUAUAGAAAAGAAUGUAACAAACUUCUGGAAGCUAAGAGCAGCUCCCAGCUGACAGCCCAUAAGGGAUCUCAGUUCUACAAGCUGCAGGCCUCCGAAUUCUGCCAACAACCUGAAAAAGACUGGAUGAAGCCCUAAAGCCUCAGAUAGGAAAGUCAGCCCUGGAGAUACCUUGAUUUUAGCCAUGGGAAAUCCGGAGCCAAGAACUCUGACCUAGGGAGAGUGUGUGGUACCAAACAUAUGUUCUUAUAAGCUGCAAAAUUGGCGAUAGUUUGUUCCACAGCAAUUAAUAACUAAUACAGGUAUAUCUAGGCUGCAAGGUACCAUAUAGCCAAUACCAUCAGUGAGACGUACCUGAGCGUAUCCCUCCAGAAGGAGACCCAAGAUGACCACCAAUUGGUUACAAGAAGUUGCAAAAAUAAAUACAGCAUCAUCUUGUUUUCACAAAACUCAACUUUUAUGGGUGGCAGACCAAGAUGUAGAAAGUUAAUACCAAAGGGAAAGCUGAGGAGUAGAAUUUGGCAGAGGGAUCUUUCUGUUUGUUAGUAAGUACAUUUCUUUGAAGCUAGAGAGCUUGUUUAGGUGGGGCAGUGUUUUAUUUACAAAAAAUAUGUGUCAGUAAAAGGCUGAAGACCAAGACCAGACCA